rnacentral:rRNA from 1 species
UACGUAGGGUGCAAGCGUUGUCCGGAAUUAUUGGGCGUAAAGAGCUCGUAGGCGGUUUGUCGCGUCUGCUGUGAAAACUCGGGGCUUAACCCCGGGCCUGCAGUGGGUACGGGCAGACUAGAGUGCGGUAGGGGAGACUGGAAUCCUGGUGUAGCGGUGAAAUGCGCAGAUAUCAGGAGGAACACCGGUGGCGGAAGGCGGGUCUCUGGGCCGUAACUGACGCUGAGGAGCGAAAGCGUGGGGAGCGAACAGG